rnacentral:misc_RNA from 1 species
CGACAAUCUCUUCAAGUUAACCGAUCUCCCAUUUUCUGAUCUCAUCGAUAUCAAAGACUACGAGCCCGAAGAAGCAUUGGUGAUGGAUAACCAGCAGUUUCUUCGCGAAUGGGCUUGCCCAGAGCGUCUUCAAGGAGGUCUACUGCAGUGGCUGAAGUUAAUGGGAAAGUGAAUGGUAGUGAUCAGGGCCAACGUAGAAAGCAGGCGUGGCUGUUACAAUCAAUUAUCUAGUUGCCUCACGUUUUUUCUUUUGGUCCAAAUGAAAAUGCAGGUUGCUUCUGAAAAA